rnacentral:rRNA from 1 species
GAUGAACGCUGGCGGCGUGCCUAAUACAUGCAAGUCGAGCGAACGGACGAGAAGCUUGCUCUUCUGAUGUUAGCGGCGGACGGGUGAGUAACACGUGGAUAACCUACCUAUAAGACUGGGAUAACUUCGGGAAACCGGAGCUAAUACCAGAUAAUAUUUUGAACCGCAUGGUUCAAUAGUGAAAGACGGUUUUGCUGUCACUUAUAGCUGGAUCCGCGCUGCAUUAGCUAGUUGGUAAGGUAACGGCUUACCAAGGCAACGAUGCGUAGCCGACCUGAGAGGGUGAUCGGCCACACUGGAACUGAGACACGGUCCAGACUCCUACGGGAGGCAGCAGUAGGGAAUCUUCCGCAAUGGGCGAAAGCCUGACGGAGCAACGCCGCGUGAGUGAUGAAGGUCUUCGGAUCGUAAAACUCUGUUAUUAGGGAAGAACAUAUGUGUAAGUAACUGUGCACGUCUUGACGGUACCUAAUCAGAAAGCCACGGCUAACUACGUG